rnacentral:rRNA from 1 species
ACGCUCGACACCUACGGGAGCAGCAGUGGGGAAUAUUGCACAAUGGGGGAAACCCUGAUGCAGCGACGCCGCGUGGAGGAAGAAGGUCUUCGGAUUGUAAACUCCUGUUGUUGGGGAAAAAGAAGGAUGGUACCCAACAAGGAAGUGACGGCUAACUACGUGUCAGCAGCCGCGGUAAUCUGAGCGGGCUGGCAAGGC